rnacentral:lncRNA from 1 species
UAAAAUCUCGUCUACUCAUUUCGCUAUCUCUUCUCUAUCUCUGGUUCUGCAUAUUAGACAAUUCAGCUACGUAACAUCAUUCACCAAAGAAAAGCUUCAAGCUUUGGUUUCAGACAGAAGCAGUACCAGGCAUGUCCUCUUCUCAUCUCUGUGUUUCUUUCAGAAUUAGCUCGCUUGUUCAUGAUCUUGUAAUGAAUAUCUUUGAUGAAUUAAAAACAUGUUGAAAGAUUCAUGGAACCUGGAAUGUUUUUUUUUCUAAGUUGUAUAGGACUUGUAAUUCUUCUUUUGGCGCAGACACUUAAGAAAACAGUUAUGUUCUAUAGGUACACGAAAACAUACAAGUCUAUAUUGAGAUUUCGAUGUAUUAUCUUUACAUAUUACAUUCGUAGAACAAAUGUUGGUCAUGGAUCCUCUACACGUGUAUAUAUAUCAACAGGUUGUAUAAUCUCUUCCAUGUGAAAGCUCUGUCUUCUUCUCUUAGCUUCUGUUUGCAGCAAACUUAUCUUUAAGCUCUUAUGUUUCAUCAGCUUGAUCAUUGAAGAAAUGUCUCAUUGCUUGUAUGAAUAUAUCUGUCGAAAGACGUUUCAGAUUGUGAUAAGUCUAGUUGCUAAUGUUCUAACUUUGAUAUAAUUAAGCAGUGAGGAGCUUACUUGGUCGACAAAUUGAAAUGUGAAGGGUUGUUGUUAUGUAAGACAAGGUCCAACUUUGACGGGUUUUACAGCCCUGAAAGCUCUUC